CGUACCAGUGUUGCUCACUAGAAAUUUUCAUCGUUUCAUUCGUUCGUGUAAUAAAUGCACAUUGCAUGGCACCACUUGGGUGUAAUGAAAACAAGAGAAAAGGCUCUGGAAUAGGAUGACAGCGGAAAUCUAGGCACAAACAUGAAAGGAUGAGAAGUCUGAAAUCAGUAGCCAUGGUAAUGACCAAGGUCCCGAAGCUGGGAAGUGGCAGAGACACCUUUGGGACCCAGGUCUGUGAGUUCAGGAAUCCAUCAGCGGUGCAUCCUGCAGUGCUGCCUCUGGAAGAGAAAAGAGGGAAAUUUGGAGACACAGAGACACACAGGGGAUAAUGCCAUGUGAAGAUGGAGGCAGAGAUUGGAAUAAUUCAUCUAUAAACCAAGGAACAGCAAGGAUCACUGGCAACCCAGAAGCUAAGAGAGAAGCAUGGAACAGACUCUCACUCAGAGCCUCCAGGAAGAACCAAACCUGCUGACAUCUUGAUUUCAAGACUCUGGCCUCUAGAACCACUGCUGCCAGUGGGAAGGAUGGGUGAGGAGCCUGUAGGUGAGGUGAGAGAGAGGAAUACCUAUGCAAGGAACGUCAUACCCUUGUCCAACAUGUCUUAAUACCAACCUGAAAAGGCAUGACAUCGCCACAUCAGUUGGAGAGGUGUGCGUGUCCUGGAAAAAAGGAAAGAUGAUUUACGCCUUCAGUUCAAGGCUGGACAGGAAAAAUGACAGAGGAAAUGAAGAGUCUGUGGCCAAUGAAGAAUGUGCUGAAGGCUUGCAGCCUCUGUUCCUGUGCAGUCCCACCUCCUGCUGCCUCCCCACCCCAUGCCAGGUGUAUGGAAGAUCUUCAGGAAACAUCCAUGAGAACCACAGAAUGCCCAGUGUCAGUGGGGUUUCUGUGGGGAGCAGAGAAGGUACAAUGUUGACCAGUUAGACAUCAUGGGGAGACCACAGAAUCAGGUUCGAGCCAAGUUCAUGCAGAUCCUCAAGGGGCACUUGUAAACGAGUUUAUUC